UAUUUCCUAUUGUGAGAUCCUAAAUGGGAAAAUAAGUCCAGGUUAUGUAGGUCUCUAUGCGGUAUUAGAUGCAAUAGCAGCCAUAGUGCAAGGAAUGUAGGCCACAAAGGCCUGUGUAACUGGCUGCUGUGAACUUUAGUGGCAAACCUUAAAAAAGGGAAAAGAAAAAGGAAAGAAGACCUUUAGCACUUCCAUAUAGAUCUCAAUAUCACUCAAAAAACUUUCUUCAACUGGGUCUGAUGCAUUAACGAGAUCAUAGAAUUACUGCUAAUUUAGAAUUACAUACUUUGGUGAGGAAAGUUUAUUAUUACAAAUAAAAUGCCAUAGUUUAUAAAAAAUAAUUGGGUGUGACAAUAAGCCAUAUUUUAAUAUGUGGUUUAUUAUUGUGUGGAUUAAAAGCAGAAAGCUUAAAUUAAAAAGAUAAUUCCUUGAAUUUCAUUAAACAGUUUUAAAAAUUGUUUUGCAGGUAUUUAAACAGUGUAGAAACACUGUGAGAUAUAUACAUAUAUAUAUAUAAUGUCUUAAAAUCCCAACAUUUUAAAAGGAGCUCACCUCCUUUUAAAAUUAUGACAGAUUAAAAUUAUGAUAACUGUAAUGUAAAAUUAGGCAAACAAGUAAAUAAAAUUAAGUAAAUAAUGCAAUUUUACCUGGUGCACUUAUUAACAAUAUUCUUAUUAUUCAAAUCUUACCUUUUCUUUAUAAAAUCUUCCUUAAACUAUGAUAAUUCUUGUGGUUUCUGUAUAAUACCCAAUGUCUGAAUGAAUAUUCAAAAAUCAGUCUCAUUAAUGUUUUAAAAAUGCAACUGCUAAACAAACCAUGUUUAAGUUUUUCAGCUAUGCUAGCUUUUGCAUCUCUCGAAACAUAACUACUGGGCCAAGAGUUUCUAAAUGAUUUUCCAGUAACUGACAUCUGUAUUGAAACCUAAGACACACAGGCACUAUAGUAAAGGUUCUGAAAAAUUUCAUUUUUUAUAAUCAUAAAUAAAAUUAAUCUAUGAUUUGACGAGGAAAAGAAUUAUUAGAAUAGCAACAUGAAUCAUAUUUAAAAGAAUAUACAAGAGAAUUAAUUAUUCCACAAAAGGUAAAAGAAACAUUUUGUUUUGUUUUGUUUUUGGUCAGCAGUGAUUCAGGAGAUGAACCAACUGUGGGGCUCUGUGGCUAUCAUUAUACAAAUUUAUCAUCAAUGAACCAGUGAAGCACGAAACUGAGGGUUAAUAUAGAAUGAAAAGAGACUUUCCCCUCAAUAUAUCACUUUAGAAGCAUAUAUUCUGAGUUCUAAAAGCAAUAAUCUUCCACAUAAAAUUCAAUACAAGAGUGAUCUCCAACCACAUUAGAUCAAAUUAUGGCAAGAUUCAAAUAAUAUCUAAUCCAGGUCCUCAUCUUAUAUAGGAAUCCGUGGCAUAUGGUCAUUUCAGCCUCUUCAUGGAUACCCACAAUGAUGGGAACUUCAGCCAACAGGGUGCUCACGAAUUUUUGGAAAACUCUGUUAGAAAGCUCAUGAUUUAACGAAAGUAAAGCUGCUUCAUCCUUUCAAAUUUCUCAUAGAUUUAUCACCAUUUUGUCCCGUGGGCUAUCACAGGAUAGUCAGAAUUCCUUUUCUUACCUGAUAGCUUUUCGCUAUUUAAUGAUAGCUUUCAUUCUUUCACUUCUCCAAGUUAAGUCUUUCCACGGCAUUUCAUAGAAUACAUCUAUAAUACACAAUAAUCUUCCUUUAUUUCUCUUUUGAACUUACUCUUUGCUAGCGUGACAGUUUGCCAACGUCCGCCUCAACAAGGAGUGCUCAGAAUUGAACACAACAUUUAAGAUGUGAUGAUCAUUGCAAACUAUAAUAGGGCAUCCGUUUGUGGGACUCUAUUAAGUCCAAUUUAACAACGCUUAACUUUUGCAGCCACGUUCCAUGACAAAUAUCAAGCAUUUGGCCAACAAAACCAUGGUCAUUAGUUGUGUAGUAGACUUUUCGUGCCCAAAGAUUUUUCCAUUUAUGUCUAUUCCUAUAAGGUGGUAUUUUGACAUCGAACAUGUUAACAUGAAUCUCUGUAUUUGAACCUUAGGUAUCUUAUCUUCAAAAAUAUCAAGUUACUCUAUUUUCCUUCCUACCAAACUCAUAUCCCUUCAGUGUUAAAUAGUAUGGAGCUAUGUUGACUUAUAAUAACCUAUCUCAAUUUAUUACCUCUUAAUACUCAAGAAUACCCAAGGAAAACAUUUUCUUGUAUGGCAAUUUACAUUUAAGAAACCUUGCCCAGUACUUCUUUUUAUCUUGUUUAUUUUAAAACAAGUUUUUUAGAGAAUAAUUUAACAGUGCGGUAUCUCCGUAAGAGCAUUUCUUAGUAGUUGAUCAUGAUUAAGUGGCAAAAUGCAGGUAAUGACAUGCUCAAUUCCACCUUUGAGUCAGGACAGUGUACAUCGACGACAACAACAAACCCUUAUGCUAAUAUGCCUGUGACGCAAAUAUCCAUACAUACCGCACACGAAUUGUGCAGUGAGCUAAAAAAGAAAACAGAAAAGAAAAAAGCUACUACUUUAUUCUACUUAAAGUUGUCCUCUAUUCAAACUUUUAUCUCACUCUUCUCUCCUUCUGCACCAUAAUUUUCUUUCGAGCAAAGACAGGGAGUUCUGGAUGAUUCCAAUCUCCCCAAAUCCACAUCACAGCCUCCAAUUGAGGUUCAUUUAAGUCAGGUUGGAGCUGAGGGAGCCUGGGCUGGAACCGGCCAGGGUUUCAUCCAGCUCCUCCCCCAAAACACGCCCCCCAAAUCGGAGCCAGAGGAGAGCUCAACCACAGAGGACUUCCACUCAAUGAGGGCAACCCCUGAGUAAAGUCCAUGCCGACAACCAUUCAUCUCCUCCGACCCCCGCCCAGCACUAGACUGCGCUCCUAGCACCGCGCCUUCUUCCGGAGCCUCCUCCCCCAGGCUGGCUAGGGGUGAGCGCAGGGGUUAGUCAGUACGCACGUGACGCGCGAUGCCCACAUGACACGACCGUGGGCGGGGGAGGGGGACACGGAGUGAAGAAGGGGAAAAGUUACAGAAGACCCGUCAAAGCGCCCAAAGCAAUUUGUCCCUUCUUUUCUUCGCCAGCGGUGGCUCACGGAUCCCUAAGGGACGGCUGGGGACCCAGGCGCCCCCAGCCCAGCCCCAGAAACGCUGGACGCAGUUCUCCGCUCACCCCACCACCUUCUCUUCCCAGACCCGCUGGUGAUGCCGCUGCACCCUAAAGUUGCUCCUUCCUUCUUUCCCUCCCUUCCUCCCAUUCUUUCUUUCUUUUCUCCCUUCCUCAAAACCUCUUCAUCCGCUUCGGGUGAUACCACUGACGCACAUUCAAUUUGCCCCAGCAGCUCUGAGGAGGUCAGACCAGGCCGAGCACCUUCCAAAGGGGAGGGUCUAACUGAGCAAACAAAGUUGCACGCCACACCACAACCUGCCCCUCCCCUCCCUUUAGCCCCCAAGUCGAAUCCCCGGCGAAACUCACUUGCACUGCGGGUGCCCUCUGGCCCCCACCCCAUCAUCGCGCAACACACCCCCUUCAACAUGCGCGCCCACCCUUUCAUUGCCCUGCGCCCCGAGCGGUCCCACCGCCCGGCAAAACACUGAGCAAGCCGCUGCGCUCACCUUGCUUGACACACUUGAGCCGGAGGGGGUCCUUGCAGUGUUUGAUCACGACCAGCACGUCCCCGAUGGUGAGCCCCGCCACGGGGGUCUCGUUCACCUCCAGCAGCAGCUCCUCCGACACCAACUUGCUGCCGCUCUCAUAGGCCACCUUGCCGGGCUUCACCUCCCCCAGCAGAGGAAGCGGAGGAAGCAGAGGAAGCAGAGGAAGUGGUGGCGUCGGCGGCGGCGGCGGCAGCCGGAGCGAGCAGUAGCCGAGCUGGUUUGCAUCCAAGAGAGGGGAGGACAGGGGCAAAAGGAUGCAGGGAGGCUGCUGAUUUCCACUGAAGAGCUAAUUUCCUGUGAGACAUUAACAGUGAUUUAAGAAAAAGAUUCCUGUAACUGUAAUGUCUUACAAUAACAGAAUGCAGGAGAGCACAUAUCAAUGAAGAAAAGACAAAAUGUACUUAUCCAUGAAGCUGAGGUUAAGAAACCAGUGUCUUCAAGAGCCAGGGACAGCACUGGGUCUGUGCAGAGUUGAGAGAUGGUGAUGACAUGUGGUUUCCAGCAUUCCUCGCCCAGUCCAGGGACACUGUGGGUGUGCCCAGCUUAAGUCCAGUCCAGUAACUGGAAAUACAAGCCCAAGUUCUGGAGAGUUUGAGCUGCAGAGAUAUAUAUGGGAACACUUUGAACCUUGACUCAUUGGCCAUAACCAGCAGAGUGGAAAAUACAAGAAGAGAAAAAAACAUUGAACUGCGAUUUUAUAACAUCCUUUACUCGGCAGAGAGAAGAGGAAACACCAGGAAAGAAAACUGUAUUACGAUGUGAAAACUUAACGUUGAGAAAUUCAGGCAUCUUGGGGUUAGUGAGGAGAAGUUUUAGGGGCUUAGAUUCUUCAAAACACAUGUACAGAAAUGCAUAUUUCAUCUGAUAUCAAAUGACAUUUAUAGUGCUAAUCUUUACCUCAAGACUUCACAUCUUUUGGUGAUUGUAUCUUUUAGGUUUAUAGCAGCUAAGUUUGCAUGAAAACACCAGGGCUGUUUCAUUUCAGUCAAGAAUUAAUGUUCAUUGAUUGUGCUUCUGCAUUUCAUGUAACUAUUGUAGAAUUUGUUUUAGUUUUAUGAGGGAAUAAUUGGUCCAACUUCUAUAUAACUCAGGAAUUUACUCUCAAACAACACUGUCAAUUAGUUACUUAUCUCUCUGGAAAUGAUCUGGGAACAUGGAGAGGAAAGGGAGGAAGGGGCAAAAUCUGACCACUUAAAUCUAAGCAUAUUAGAUCAUUUUAUGCUAGAAAGUCCUGAAUGAUGUGACUUUCGUUCUUGUAAAACACCUCUUUCCAUAGAUUCAUGGCCCAAACAGUAUAUAAAGAGUGGGGAAGGAACUGCAUUUGCAAAUAGUUCAAAUCAUUGCUCCAUCUUAACUAUGCAGUUCACAAAGUGUGAAGAAAUUUGAUCAUCUCAAAAAAGAUAAUGGGGAAAAAUAUGUUUUGUUCUGUGACUUUAAAGUCUUGCAAUAUUUUACAUAAAUGAUAAUGGGUGCUUUAAUAAGAACCCUUGAUACUUUUGUUAUUGUAUUCAAUAUAUGCAUAUAAUACAAUAGGAUGAUAUUGUUUUGGAUUUGGAAAUGUAUUCUUUCUUAUGCAAUCUUAUGCAGUCAUACUGCUUGAAUAUCAUUACCUGAAUUUAUCUUUCUUUUUUUUGUUGUUGUUUUACACUCUACUUAUUUGGUGCCUGUCAGUCUUUUGUCAUCAGUUUAUAUUCUACUAAACUCAAAAAGACAAUCUCAUACCUUUUGUAAUUGUAGGCAUUCUUUACUAGAUUUUUAAAUACACUUCAAAAAUUCAAGUACUUUGAUUUCAUGCCAUCAAGUAGCUGAAUCUAUCCCCCCCUCUCUUUUUAAAUUUAAGUGAGUAGUUCAAUUUCUGUCACUUUCUACUUUGUGAAUUCUAAAUCUUUUAAAACCAUCUUGCCAUUUUUCGUGCACUUACCCUUACAGAAAACUCUGUGAAACACUACUUAUCUCUACUUUUAUGUUUUUAACUCCUUUUUUAUAUUACUAUUCCCUCUGCUUUCUAAAUGCACAUAUUAAUUUGUUCUUUUUAUUCUCUGUAGCUCUUCUCAGUAUAUGAAUUCAGUUUCCCAUCAGUCUCCAUACAAUUUUUAAAAAGUUGAGUAUUCUGUUAUUUUAAUAUGAUAUCUAGUGCCCAUAUUCUAAUUCUGCCUCUUAUUUUAAAAAUAAUUUUAUUGUUGAUUUAAAAUGACAACAGUUUCAAUUCCCAGAAAGUGAAAGGAAACAAAGGAAGAAUAUUAUGGGCUUAAUUUUUAUCAGUGAACUUGUAGGUGAAGAAAAGAUUUGGGGAAGGAAAUGAACAUAUUAUAUUGCAAAAUAGUAAGGAACAAUCAGAUGUGUUUUCUAGUCUCUGGAAAAGCGUGUUUCAAGAAAUUCAAUGAAAAGUUCGUCAUGCUUGCUUAGAUUGUUGAGAAGCAAAAAUGCUGAUGAACAUUUGGAAGCCAUGAGAAUGUAAUUCUAAUCAUACUAUUUUAAUAAUGUUGCAAAACUCUCCAAACACUACUCUGUGUGGAGGUCUUUCAGAAUAUGAUGAAUACUAGUAGUCUUAUUCUGCCCUUUUCUCUCUAUCACAAUGUAUACAUUGUAUAUUGCAUACACAUAUUUUCCAAAUAUUACAUAUAAUUUCAUGUAAUUUAUAGACCUAUUAAGGCCCAACCAUUUUCUUGGAUAGGGGAUUCUUUAGAAGUCCAGCUUAAAUAAAGCCCUUAUAGAAAGUUUUUUUAAAAUUUAUACAUAAUCACCUAAGGUAACCUUAUCUACUGAACUCUUAGUACAUGCUACCGGAACCUUUUAUCACGUUUCUUCCUGGCUUGCAUUACAACACUGUUGACAUAUCUCAGCCUUACUUCUAGGCUUCUUUGAGAGCAUGACUCUUGUUUGUAUUCCUCACUGAGGUUGAAUGAAUAAGAGAAACUACAGUAGUAGGAAAAAACAGUACAUGUAGAUAUCAAUGAAUAUGAAAGGGUCAAAUGGAUCUAUUAUAGUAAGCACAAAAUCAACUGACACCAGCAAAGUAAACCCAAAAUUUUUAAUGGUAUUUUAAUAGAUCAAAAGGAACAAGCAGAUUUUUGAGACAGUUGUCUCCUACUUUCUCUAUCACAGGGAGUAAUUUUAAAAGAAAAAUGGAGGGUAAGUUUCUUUAAGAGAAAAUUGUAGUUUAAAACAGGUCAUGGGAUAAUUAGAAAUAAUUUAAUUUCUUUAGAGGAUUUUAAUCUUUCAACUGCUUGCAAUUAGAUCCUAAGGCAAUAAAAGAAUAAGGAGAUUUGGAAAACCAUUGUCUGUAAUCUCUGAAGAAAAGUGGACAUUAGGGGAGUCAGUUGAAAAGCAAAGCUAUCACCAUUUUCUAAAGAGGAAAAAGGUGAACCUCACAAACUAUAGACCAAAAAAAUAGGACAUCGAGAGAAAGAAUAUGAAGCUAGCAUAGGUUCACAAAGAAUGAGUCAAAUCAAACAACAUGCAUUUUUUAUUUAUAAAGCAUGACUUGUUCAUUGUCAAUUCAUGUUAGCUUAAUCAUUAGGCAUUAAUGCCAUCACUGCAAUGCAUAUGUCAGCAAUAAAUAAUCAAAGACCAGGCUUCCAUCAUUCUGUUUAAUAUCUUCAAGUAAUGCUUAAGUUUGCAAAUGCUCUUUUAACACAUUCUCCAUAUGCAGCCUGCCCAGCACUGCACACAACAGACCUGUUACUUCCCCCUCACGAGCACUCCUAAUAUUUCAUGUGCUCAUCCAAUUGACUUCUCCCACUGGUGCCUCAUAUUGAAUUUGUAGAAUCACACCUGCUCCUUUUUCAAAACUCUUCUGAGUUUUUUCUUAAAUAAUUCACUGACCCCAAAGUUGUCAGAUAUUUGAAGACUACUCGCACAAUUUUAAUAUUAUAAAUGUAUAAUGUAAAUGUAAUUAAGAUUUGUAUAAUGUACGAUGUACUUUGGUAAAUAAAAGUAUGCUGUGAAUAAAUACGUAUGAUACAAUUCAAAAUUUUACAUAAAUAUGUGAUAAAAUUUAGCUCAUAUUCUUUUCUUUUUUUUCUUUGAGACGGAGUCUCACUCUGUCGCACCCAGGCUGGAGUGCAGCAGCAUGAUCUCAGCUCACUGCAACCUCUACCUCCUGGGUUCAAACGAUUCUCCUGCCUCAGCCUCCUGAGUAGCUGGGAUUACAGGUGCCCACCACCAUGCCCAGCUAAUUUUUUUCUAUUUUUGUUGUUGUUGUUUUUAGUAGAGACGGGGUUUCACCAUGUUGGUCAGGCUGGUCUUGAACUCCUGACCUCAGAUAAUCCACCUGCCUCGGCCUCCCAAAGUUCUGGGAUUACAGACGGUGCCCGGCCUAGUUCAUGUUCUUUGAGGACAAUUAUGAAUAUUUUUAUGCACUGUUAAUUUUCAUUAAGAUAUUGAUCAAUUAAUAGCUAUAUAUGUUCUAUAAAUUAAUCCUAUCUAGUUUCAAUCUUAAAUUGUUUGCAUAUACUAAUCUAGUUUAUUGUUUGCAUAUAUUUUAUAGUGUAGAGAUUAGGCAUUUUAAUAAAAUUUUAAAAUUUCCAGGACAUACUGUUAAUGACUAUGCUUCCUACUAUAGGCCAUAAUUAAUUUUUUUCUAUUGUCAACAAUAUUUUGGUAGGGAUGAUCAGGAAAUAAGGAAAUGUUUCCUUCAUUUGUUAACAAUAGGUGUUUGGGGAUUUUAAAAUGAAAAUUGAAGAAGUAAAAGACACCAUAUAUUUAGUUUGUUUGAUUUCGUGGCUUCAAGAGCUCAAUAAUUUAUUGAAAUAUUUUACAGACCAAAGAACAACAGAUAUAUUACGUUUAUAAGCCCCCACAUAUUUUAAAGGAUAAUGGUUUAUAUAUGAAAAUUCCCUGAACCUACACUUCAUCAGGAAAAGCUAAAUAAAAGAAGUUUACAUUUCCUAGGACUAAUGGAGAUUUAUUUCCCAGUCCUCUUCUCUGGAGACAAAUGUAGGUCUCUCUUGAAAAGCAGAAAGAUUUGCAUAUGAGGUAUGAUUUAGUGGGCUAGAAACAUCUUUUCCACCCUCCCCAAAAUGUUUCACUAUGUUUUAUCAUACUAUCUGAUAAUUUUGCACUAAAGUUUUCUUUCUGUGUUAAGAAAAUGCAAAUAUCUCUGAAUGGGUCUCUUUGCUUUAUUCAUACUCAUAUGGCUACUACUGAACAAAAUAUGUUCAUUACAGGAUGAAGGGAAUGUUGCCAGCCAGCAAAUCCCUAGAGUCUGCACUACACCAAACGUUGCUUAGCAAUUUCCACGAUUUUCUCAGUCUAAUUUGCAAGAAUCAAGGAGAUGUUUGUGUAUGCUACAUGAAGUUGUAAAAUUGGUAUUUAUUGUAUGUUUCUAUAUUGAAAGCUUUACAAACAAAGGAAAUGGAAAGUUAACAGGUGGAUAUGAUAGUGUGGCACUACUUUAGCUGGAUGGUAAGGGAGAGCUUCUCUUAGGAAGUGUUUUAGGCCAGGACUUGAAUAAUGAACAGUAUCUAGUUGUACAAAAAUCUGGAGGAAAGACUUUUCAGGCCCAGGAGAAAUGAAAAUUCUUUUCAUGCAUACAAGAAUGAAAGUGAAAAUUACCUACUCUAUGUCCUGAAGUGGGAAGUUGGCUUGCCAGAGAAUAGGUAAUUUUCACUUUGAUUCUUUCAUGCCUUCAGUUAUACUACUUCUUAGGUUAGUUCAUAAGGGCUUCCACAAUUUGGUUCCCACUUAAAAUUUAAAACUUCCCUAACCCAUUCCCACCAUAUAUUGUGCUAAUCCAUGCAUAUGUGACUUUGCGUAUGCUGUUUUCAUUGUUUAAUAUUCUUCUCAUGCAUUCUUUCUUUCCUGAUAACGAACUCAUCUUUGAAACUCCCCUUCAAGCAUCCUCUCCUUUAGGAGGCCGCUUCUCACUGUCUCCUGCCUACCAACCAUUGAAUUGUUCGAUUUUUAAGCUGCCAUUGUCUUGUGCAGUUGACACAUUUCUUUGCAAUUACUGAUUUACAUGUCUGCUUUUAUCACUGGUGAGGUUCUUUAGGAGAGAGACAUUAUUAAUUCAUCUCUGGGCACAUAUGUUCCAACAUAUUAGAAGUACUACAGAGUGCUAUUUCUAUGUAGUAUGUAGUAUUAGUAGGAGUUACUCACAAAUCAUUUUUAAAUAAGUGAUUAUAAUAUCUUUUUGUUAUUAUGAUUUAACACAAGAUAGAAUUUAUUUUCAGAAGUUUCCACGAUAUAUUUGUUCUAUUUAAAAUCCAAUAGCCAUUAGAAUAUUACCAUUAUUUAAUGUAAAACAAUAAAAUAUUAAAUAUGAUCAUUCAUAUUUAAUGCAAACCGAACUCAUGGAAAUAUUGUGUAAAGAUCAAGUAAUUUUUGACAUACAAUUUUAAACUCAACUUUUCAUAUAGCAUACCUUAUGAUAUAUUUUCAGCCUACUUUUAAAUAUGUUGGCAUUGAAAGCCAGUUACUAAUUCGCUGAAUUCAUGAUUUCUUUUUAAGUUAUAGAAGUGGAAUUAUGUUUGAGACAUUCAUUGCAUUACAUUUACCAGAACUUGAGUUCUUAACAUGGAACCUGAGAGUUUCUCCAAUUCUUAAGUCCCUGGGAGAAAUAGAUUAGCUGGAUGAGGAACUGAGAGGAAAAAUGGUCAGAGAUGUAGCAAGAGUUGGGAAGAAGGAACAAUGAUUUGCUUUCAAGGAGAUUUCUUCAUUGGUCUGUUUUCAGUGACAAACCCACUGCGAUAAUACAUGUAAAGUGAAAACAUUCAGGAAGUUCCCUUAGAAACCUUUUUUCUGGCAGUUCCUAAUUCUACAACGUUGUAUAAGUGAAAUACCAUAGUUACUGUCAUAGUAAAUUGAGCCAAGAGAAACAAGGGAGCAGGAGAAGAAAAGAAUUAAAGAGAGUUUUGUCUUUCAGUCUUCACUCUGUUUCUUCUUGCUCUUACCAGUCAUUCAGGUUUAUAUAAUUUCUUUAGAGAGGCUUCUACUAUGCAGGUCUUCCUUCAAGUCAUUGGUAUUACCUGGCAUGAUAUGUGAGCCUUUAAUAUCAGUCCCUUUAUCUCUUUAUUUUUAAAGUUUAUAUCAGUACGGAGUCCUGGAUUCUUAAUUAAUUUAAUAGGUUAGACUUUACUGCUAACAUUCUUCAUUUUGAUGCUCAAAUUUUCCAAAAUUUGGCCAGCAGGGUUCCUUAAAGCUGGGUACCUUGCCCUUUCAACAUGUCCCUCUGAUUCUUUAUUUUUAUUUACUUAUUUAUUUAUUUAUUUAGAGACUGAGUCUUGCUCUGUCUCCCAGGCUGGAGUGCAAUGGCACAAUCUUGGCUCACUGCAACCUCUAUCUCCCAGGUUCAAGCAAUUCUCCUCCCUCAGCCUCCCGAGCAACUGGGACUACAGGCAUGUGCAACCAUGCCUGGCUAAUUUUUUUUGUAUUUUUAGUAGAGACAGGGUUUCACCAUGUUGGUCAGGCUGGUCUCGAUCUCCUCACCUCAAAUGAUCCAUCGCCUCGGCCUCCCAAAGUGCUGGGAUUACAGGCGUGAGCUGCCACACCCAGCCGUCCCUCUCAUUCUUUAAGUACUUCUAUGUUUUCUAAGGUACAAGAUGUUCCAUAUUAUUUUGUUAUUUGUCUUCCCCAGCUCUGAAAUCUGCCUUUCCUUCAAGGAGCCUUGGUUCUUUCUAGUGACAAAUUAUAUUUAGAAACGAAGAUCUGGGUAUUUGACUUGUAUAUUGCUAUUAAUUGGCCAUUGUUUCUAGUCUCUUUCAGUAGACAGAGCUAAGAAAUGUAAAAGGAAAUAUUUGAAUGUAUGUAUAUGUGAUAUAUUAAGUACAUUUAAACAUAUUAAAUUCAUGAGUUCAUACUAAUACUUUCAAUAAGCCACAAUUCCCUUUUCAUGUUUUCGAAGGAAAAAUAUCCAUUGUCUAUAUACAGUGGACAUAGAUAGUAAGAAUACUGAUCUUGAAAAGAGCAGUCUUAAAUAGAUCCCAUUAAUAGUUAAAGAUAACAUAUCUUAGAAUUCUAGAUAUUAGAGAGAUUAUCUAGAGCUGUAAUCUAGAUAUUUUAUAGAUCUUUGCUGUGCUGUUUUGAAUUUGUGUUGGAGUAGAACAAUCAGAUGACAAAAGCUCAUCCCACAUGGAAAAAUCAAAGCAUUCAUUACAGAGAGAAUUUUGAAAUAAAUGCAUAUAUAAAAAAUAUAUAUGCAUAUAUAAUGCAUAUGUAUAUGCAUAUAAAAUAUAUAUAUAAAAUGGGGGUUAUAAACAAUGAAGGAAAUAGUGGUACUAUCUAUGUGGGAACAAUACUAGUAUCCUCCCUUUGGAUGAAUACAGUAGCUACAGAUGCAGUUCUGGGGACUCUGUUUAGCAAUAGCUUAACUAUUGCUUGGCUACAAGCAUGGAUAACUUGUUCAAAGAUAAUGAGGAGUUGUAAAUAUUUAAAUAAACAGGAUUUGCAACAUAAAAAGCUUUGUGACUAUGUGUCUGAAUUCUUAGAGUUUUCUCCCAGCAAGACCUUGGAUGUGGCAGACUUUUCUGUAAUGGUCCAUCUCGCCCCAUUUCAUGAAAAGCCAGAGCUUCUCUACUUAGUUUCCUAACCCCAAAUAUAUAAAUUCAAUAGAAGUACUAGCCUGUUUCUACUGGUUUAUUUGCUUUAUCUAAAAAAAACAAGGCAUAGUUUAAAGUCUGUUUUUGAUAGCAUAACAAAACAAAGGUUCUCAUUUUAAUAAUGCAUCACAUAUACACUUGGUAACUAUUGCAUAGUAAUAAUUUAAUAACUUGAGAAAUAUAUUUAUGCAUGUAUGUGUGUAUGUUCAUAUAUAUGUUAUUUUUAAUUCAGAAGUAAAACAAAUAUUGGAAGAGGCCACAGUUAUUAUAAAAAUAAUUUGACCAGUAUUGGACAAUGCAAAUAACAAUUAUUUAGAAGUUUCUGUACAACAGAUGCCAUAUGUGUUACAUUUUAUUUGAUCAUCAAAAUUGUCAUAGAUAUUAUUAUCCCCAUUUCAUAGAAGAAACUGAGAUUAUAUAAUUUGUUCAACUUGACCAACUUCUUAUAACUAAUACGUAGCAGAGAUAAGGUUGAAAGCUCGUUAACCAACUUCUUAUAACUAAUACGUAGCAGAGAUAGGGUGGAAAGCUCGUUAACCAACCUGUUACAACGAAUACGUAGCAGAGAUAGGGUGGAAACCUCGUUAACCAACCUGUUACAACGAAUACGUAGCAGAGAUAGGGUGGAAACCUCGUUAACCAACCUCUUACAACGAAUACGUAGCAGAGAUAGGGUGGAAACCUCGUUAACCAACCUCUUACAACGAAUACGUAGCAGAGAUAGGGUGGAAACCUCGUUAACCAACCUCUUACAACGAAUACGUAGCAGAGAUAGGGUGGAAACCUCGUUAACCAACCUCUUACAACGAAUACGUAGCAGAGAUAGGGUGGAAACCUCGUUAACCAACCUCUUACAACGAAUACGUAGCAGAGAUAGGGUGGAAACCUCGUUAACCAACCUCUUACAACGAAUACGUAGCAGAGAUAGGGUGGAAACCUCGUUAACCAACCUCUUACAACGAAUACGUAGCAGAGAGAAGGUUGAAACCUCGUUAGGUUUGACUCCAGAUCCCACCCUCUUUAGAGUGCAUCAUAAAAGGCUUUGGUCUGCCCGUGGCCAGUAACAACUUUUACUAAAUUGAUUCUUUGCUUUUUAUCUGUAAAAGGAAGUUAUUCACCUAUUUUGAUGAUCCCCAAUGUUUUUAACAUCAAUAAAUGUGUCCACCACACAUGAUGGUUUUUAAUGUUUUGUUUCCGUGAUUACAGGAUUAAAAAACUAUUAAUUAGUGAUACUUUUAAUUUUGAUUUUAUUAAUUAAAACACAUCUGUCUACAUCUGAAGAAUAGCACUUGUGACAACAGCAUAGACGGCUUCAUUUUGAGGAGUAAAUUACAAUUGAACAUGACCAAAGAUACAUAGAGAAGGCGUGGACCACACAAAUGUGAUUGAAAGCUGGCGUGGAGUCAUCUUAAAUUGACUUUUUCCCAAAGGGCCUCUAAAAGAGGGUAGAAUCCCAACAGAUAGAGUCUAUGGAGAGAUAGACUGCUGAGACCCAUAUUAUGGUCAGUGAAGUGCAGGCAAGGAAGGGAUCCUUAGCAAAAUGGGGAGAGGAAUGGAUGGUCUGAAAAACCCUGAAGGAACUGAAACACUCUGCAAAGGAAAGAAGAUCAAGUAUCAGCUUUGACCCCUGCCAGACCUAGGCAGCAACAACGGCAGCUCACAAAGCACCAGAACAAACGCGCUUUCUUGUGCCCCUACAUGUCUUCCCUUCACCGUCUUGAACCCUGGUGUCAUCAUAAACUGUUGACAGAGCUCCUUGCUGCUCAAAUUUUAUGCCAGAUAAAAUAUUCACCUUCUCGGACUCCCUGGCACCAGGCAUGGCCAUGUAAUCCUACAGCACAGCUGAUGAAAGAGAAGCCAUCUUGCUGCUAUUUGAGAAGCAAGAAGAUAAAAGCUUUCCUAUAAAGAUGAUGGAGCAAAAAGAUAGAAGGGGCCUAGACUCCCUACCUUCACACUUCCUGCUAUAAAAGCAUUGCUAUUAUAAGGUUAAUCUGCAGAAACAGACUUCUAUGUCAUAUGCUUAAAUGCAUCAAAAUUCAUACAAUAUCCAUUAAAUUGGUAAAAGUAUCCAUUUUAAAGGAUUAAUCUGAGGGACCCACAGACACUUAACACAAUCAAAUCUCAGAAAAAAAAUCAGUUAUUUCAUUGUGAUUUUGAGGCUGAUCUUUUAUGAUCUUUUAGUUAUCAAACUGUUAAAUACAUUUUAACUUUCAAAUUUUAUGAAUAAAGGAGAUGAAUCCUGUUAUUU